GUAGGUGGCAAGCGUUGUCCGGAAUUAUUGGGCGUAAAGCGCGCGCAGGCGGUUCUUUAAGUCUGAUGUGAAAGCCCACGGCUCAACCGUGGAGGGUCAUUGGAAACUGGAGAACUUGAGAACAGAAGAGGAAAGCGGAAUUCCACGUGUAGCGGUGAAAUGCGUAGAGAUGUGGAGGAACACCAGUGGCGAAGGCGGCUUUCUGGUCUGUAACUGACGCUGAGGCGCGAAAGCGUGGGGAGCAAACAGGAUUAGAUACCCUGGUAGUCCACGCCGUAAACGAUGAGUGCUAAGUGUUAGGGGGGUUUCCGCCCCCCUUAGUGCUGCAGCUAACGCAUUAAGCACUCCGCCUGGGAGUACGGCCGCAAGGCUG
rnacentral:rRNA from 1 species